GACGUAGGGCGCGAGCGUUGUCCGGAUUUAUUGGGCGUAAAGAGCUCGUAGGCGGCUUGUUGCGUCGACUGUGAAAACCCGCGGCUUAACUGCGGGCUUGCAGUUGAUACUGCCAAGCUAGAGUGCGGAAGGGGCAACUGGAAUUCCCAGUGUAGCGGUGAAAUGCGUAGAUAUUGGGAAGAACACCUGAGGCGAAGGCGGGUUGCUGGGCCGACACUGACGCUGAGGCGCGAAAGCCAGGGGAGCAAACGGG
rnacentral:rRNA from 1 species